rnacentral:rRNA from 1 species
UACGGGGGGUGCUAGCGUUAUUCGGAAUCACUGGGCGUAAAGGGCGCGUAGGCGGCCAUUUAAGUCGGAUGUGAAAUCCCGGGGCUUAACUCCGGAAGUGCAUCCGAUACUGAAUGGCUUGAGUAUGGGAGAGGGAAGUGGAAUUCCAGGUGUAGAGGUGAAAUUCGUAGAUAUCUGGAGGAACACCGGUGGCGAAGGCGACUUCCUGGACCAAUACUGACGCUGAGGCGCGAAGGCGUGGGGAGCAAACAGG